rnacentral:rRNA from 1 species
CGGGUGCACUGAUCCAGCCGGGCCUUUCCCUCUGUGGAACCCCAUGGCCUUCACUGGCUGUGGUGGGGAAACAGGACUUUUACUUUGAAAAAAUUAGAGUGCUCCAGGCAGGCCUAUGCUCGAAUACAUUAGCAUGGAAUAAUAGAAUAGGACGUGUGGUUCUAUUUUGUUGGUUUCUAGGACCGCCGUAAUGAUUAAUAGGGACAAUCGGGGGCAUCAGUAUUCAAUUGUCAGAGGUGAAAUUCUUGGAUCUAUUGAAGACUAACUACUGCGAAAGCAUUUGCCAAGGAUGUUUUCAUUGAUAAGGAACGAAAGUUAGGGGAUCGAAGACGAUCAGAUACCGUCGUAGUCUUAACUAUAAACUAUGCCGACUAGGGAUCGGACGAUGUUAUUCUUUGACGCGUUCGGCACCUUUCGAGAAAUCAAAGUGCUUGGGCUCCAGGGGGAGUAUGGUCGCAAGGCUGAAACUUAAAGAAAUUGACGGAAGGGCACCACCAGGGGUGGAACCUGCGGCUUAAUUUGACUCAACACGGGGAAACUCACCAGGUCCAGACACAGUGAGGAUUGACAGAUUGAGAGCUCUUUCUUGAUUCUGUGGGUGGUGGUGCAUGGCCGUUCUUAGUUGGUGGAGUGAUUUGUCUGCUUAAUUGCGAUAACGAACGAGACCUUAACCUGCUAAAUAGCCCGUACUGCUUUGGCAGUUCGCCGGCUUCUUAGAGGGACUAUCGG